GCAAUCAUAAGUUAAGGGUAAACUUUUCGUUUACCAAGCGAAAUUUGUCAGUUCGAUUCUGACUGGUUGUA
rfam:Cordyceps militaris CM01 unplaced genomic scaffold CCM_S00011, whole genome shotgun sequence.